GAUGAACGCUAGCGGCAGGCUUAACACAUGCAAGUCGAGGGGCAGCGGGAUGUAGCAAUACAUUGCCGGCGACCGGCGCAAGGGUGCGUAACGCGUGAGCAACAUGCCCGUCACAGGAGGAUAAACCAUGGAAACGUGGCCUAAUACUCCAUAGUAUGUUUUGGAGGCAUCUCUGAGACAUUAAAGCUUCGGUGGUGACGGAUUGGCUCGCGUGACAUUAGCUAGAUGGAGAGGUAACGGCUCACCAUGGCGACGAUGUCUAGGGGAACUGAGAGGUUAAUCCCCCACACUGGUACUGAGACACGGACCAGACUCCUACGGGAGGCAGCAGUGAGGAAUAUUGGUCAAUGGACGCAAGUCUGAACCAG
rnacentral:rRNA from 1 species